CUUGGAUUGGAGGAGAAAAUCCGAUCGAAGCACCCAGACGACGUCAAGUGUCUUUUAGCCGUUGGCGGACAACAGGGCUAACGUCAGUGCACGGAAAUUUAAAAGCGCGUGCAACAGUAAAAAAAAUUUAAACUGCGUGUUGAUGUCAUGGCUAACAUCAGCUCCCCCCUCGUCCUCGAUUUGCCUUCGAGCCAGCUCGGCUUCAUGGGACCCAUACUUAGCCCAGGCAAAAAAGACCCUCUGAAACGCGCUUUUUGACUUGGGCUCCCCCCUUGCCCUGGAAUGGGUCUUAAAUCUCCAUGGCACCUUUGGCCUUCCUCUGUGUGUUUCAGGGAUAACCCAUCAUCAUCUCACCUUCUCUAAGGAGAUGGCAGAUCAUGAUCGCAAAAGGGAGGCCAUGAAAAGGCAGAGAUCACAAGCCAGAGCAGAGCUGCAUACAAAUCAAGAACUGGGUUUUGAGAGAAGCAGCGGAAGCGUGGGAGACAAGAACAUGGAAGGUGGGGUUGAUGAAGAUCUAGCUAGUGUGCUACAUGAUAUGUGUUGCAGUUAUUUGGCUUGUACUGCAAAAGUUGCGUAGCUUAAUUCGCUUAGCUUAGCUUAUUAAUUAAUCAAGUCUUAAGUGCUACAGUGCCCUCUAUAACAUUAGUCAAUUCUCACUAAAUCCCUUUAAAGUUAAAGUGACUCAUUUUACCCCAUUGACCGAUGUUUUAUGUCUCACGUUUUAUGUCUCACUUUGUCCCUCACCGUCAAGUCUGUUAAAAAUUCCAUUAAAAAUGCUUACGUGGCACCAAUGAGACUAAAUGCCAUGUGUGAAGAAAAAAAAAAUCCAAGUGUGAGCUCCAAAUCAUCCAA